rnacentral:rRNA from 1 species
AGAGUUUGAUCCUGGCUCAGGACGAACGCUGGCGGCGCGCCUAACACAUGCAAGUCGAACGAGCGAGAGAGAGCUUGCUUUCUCAAGCGAGUGGCGAACGGGUGAGUAACGCGUGAGGAACCUGCCUCAAAGAGGGGGACAACAGUUGGAAACGACUGCUAAUACCGCAUAAGCCCACGGCUCGGCAUCGAGCAGAGGGAAAAGGAGCAAUCCGCUUUGAGAUGGCCUCGCGUCCGAUUAGCUAGUUGGUGAGGUAACGGCCCACCAAGGCGACGAUCGGUAGCCGGACUGAGAGGUUGAACGGCCACAUUGGGACUGAGACACGGCCCAGACUCCUACGGGAGGCAGCAGUGGGGAAUAUUGCACAAUGGGGGAAACCCUGAUGCAGCGACGCCGCGUGGAGGAAGAAGGUCUUCGGAUUGUAAACUCCUGUUGUUGAGGAAGAUAAUGACGGUACUCAACAAGGAAGUGACGGCUAACUACGUGCCAGCAGCCGCGGUAAAACGUAGGUCACAAGCGUUGUCCGGAAUUACUGGGUGUAAAGGGAGCGCAGGCGGGAAGACAAGUUGGAAGUGAAAUCCAUGGGCUCAACCCAUGAACUGCUUUCAAAACUGUUUUUCUUGAGUAGUGCAGAGGUAGGCGGAAUUCCCGGUGUAGCGGUGGAAUGCGUAGAUAUCGGGAGGAACACCAGUGGCGAAGGCGGCCUACUGGGCACCAACUGACGCUGAGGCUCGAAAGUGUGGGUAGCAAACAGGAUUAGAUACCCUGGUAGUCCACACUGUAAACGAUGAUUACUAGGUGUUGGAGGAUUGACCCCUUCAGUGCCGCAGUUAACACAAUAAGUAAUCCACCUGGGGAGUACGACCGCAAGGUUGAAACUCAAAGGAAUUGACGGGGGCCCGCACAAGCAGUGGAGUAUGUGGUUUAAUUCGACGCAACGCGAAGAACCUUACCAAGUCUUGACAUCCUGCGACGCACAUAGAAAUAUGUGUUUCCUUCGGGACGCAGAGACAGGUGGUGCAUGGUUGUCGUCAGCUCGUGUCGUGAGAUGUUGGGUUAAGUCCCGCAACGAGCGCAACCCUUAUGGUCAGUUACUACGCAAGAGGACUCUGGCCAGACUGCCGUUGACAAAACGGAGGAAGGUGGGGAUGACGUCAAAUCAUCAUGCCCUUUAUGACUUGGGCUACACACGUACUACAAUGGCG